rnacentral:rRNA from 1 species
AGUGAACGCUGGCGGUAGGCCUAACACAUGCAAGUCGAACGGCAGCACAGUAAGAGCUUGCUCUUACGGGUGGCGAGUGGCGGACGGGUGUGGAAUACAUCGGAAUCUACUUUUUCGUGGGGGAUAACGUAGGGAAACUUACGCUAAUACCGCAUACGACCUACGGGUGAAAGCAGGGGAUCUUCGGACCUUGCGCGAUUGAAUGAGCCGAUGACGGAUUAGCUAGUUGGCGGGGUAAAGGCCCACCAAGGCGACGAUCCGUAGCUGGUCUGAGAGGAUGAUCAGCCACACUGGAACUGAGACACGGUCCAGACUCCUACGGGAGGCAGCAGUGGGGAAUAUUGGACAAUGGGCGCAAGCCUGAUCCAGCCAUACCGCGUGGGUGAAGAAGGCCUUCGGGUUGUAAAGCCCUUUUGUUGGGAAAGAAAAGCAGCAGGUUAAUACCCCGCUGUUCUGACGGUACCCAAAGAAUAAGCACCGGCUAACUUCGUG